rnacentral:misc_RNA from 1 species
UCGAAGCCUAGAAAGCCCGACCGCGAAUGUGUUUUCAACCGGGUAGCGCCUUGUGGUCCUCGGGCCACUUGUCGUUACCUUGCUCGGAUGUCAAGGAGACUAAGUGCUCUUUGCUUUUCGAAACUAACGAACCCCGGCGCGGACAGCGCCAAGGCAUCGAAAUGAGAAAUGCUUGUCCGCUGCCCCGUUGAUCGGGUUGCACGGACUUGUCCAUUCAUAAAAGAACAUAACGACUCUCGGCAACGGAUAUCUCGGCUCUCGCAUCGAUGAAGAACGUAGCAAAAUGCGAUACUUGGUGUGAAUUGCAGAAUCCCGUGAAUCAUCGAGUCUUUGAACGCAAGUUGCGCCCAAAGCCUAUAGGCUGAGGGCACGUCUGCCUGGGCGUCAUGCACUGCGAUGCCCCCAUGCAAGCAUGCGGGGCGAAUCUUGGCCUCCCGUUAGCCAGCUCGCGGAUGGCUUAAAAAGGAGCCUCGAGACGGGAACACGUUGCGACUAGUGGUGGUUAAAAGGCUUAGGCUAUAGAACUUAGCGCGUCGCUGCGUUUUCCGUCCCUUGCUCGAAAAGACCCUGCCGGCGUGCAUCUUUGCUGCCAGCAUC